ACUAUAUUGGGUUAUUAAAAGCCUGACCUCUUUUAGCAAUUUUUUAUCCCAUUAUUAAAUAGUUCAUAUAAAAUAUAGUAAGCCUUGACUUUUGAAGCCUUAGCUUCUCAAUUUCAGAUUCACAAUCAACCUGUGGGUGCUUGAUAUCAUUCAAAUGAUUUCAAAGCUACUGCCUCAUCUGAUCAACACCUGGAUUCCUAACCAUGUCUUCUGAUUCCAGUCUAGUAUGCAUCCCACCGAAACACAACCUCCUAUCAUUGCCUUGUCAUCAAGUCUUUGAGGGAUUGUGGAUCAGGGAUGGAAGGAGCGAAGGAGUGACAGACUCGUUGGUAAUACAGAAUGGGCCUACCAUGGAUAUCAUCUGAGGUGACACAAAACAUAUAUAAGGAUAACUAUCAACAGUACGGAACAGUGCUAAACAAAUACCAGAGGAAAAAUGUUCUAGACCAGAAGAGGGAAAAGUCCCAGUGGCCGAACUGGUCCAGAAAGGCUUCAGAGGAAGAAAAACUUGAAGUGGGCCUUGUGUAUCAUAUAAAUUAAAUCUUUCUCACAAAAGUUCUUCAGUAGAAAAAGUUUUUUCAGAACCGUUCUGAUUAUGUUGAUUUUCCUGAAGCAGGUGAGAGAGGAGCAAGGAGAUAGGAAGCACAUGCCCCAUCAUUUCCACUCAGUUCUCAAAAAAGUGAGUAACAUUGCAAACUUAGCUUUUCCUGGUCAUGUCAGUCCUUCCUCAAAACGAGAUUAGUACACGGAAAUGAGAGUUGGAUUGCAAGUCACAAUUUUAAAAAUCUCACUUCUUCAUUUUACUCCUUUCCAAUUGAAAAGUUUCCAUCAUCUCAGGGAAGCUUUUCUCCUUGACAGCUUUCACAGACACUGUCUCUGAAUGGGUUGGCCAGAAUCAAGAGAGGAAUCUUAAGUUUCCAUUCCUGUCCUACACCUACAAAGUGGUUUUACUUUGUAAAUGCUCUUCAAGCUGCAGCAAUUAAAAGAGGGAAUGCCAUCUUGAAGGAGUCAUUUGUCCAGACUCUCAGGAUCAUACUGUCCAUCUGUUACCUGAAUGGCCUCUUUGGCACAGCUUAGCUCACCCCUGAAUGCCUCCCAGGAGAGGAACUCUCUACCAAUGUCAUCUUGAUGCAACUCUGUCAGGAAGUUCUUAUGCUGAGAUGGAAAAACUCUCCUUUCUUCAACCGGCUGGUUCUACUGCUAGCCCCAGAACCCUACAGACAAGACAGAUUCAUCUCACAGGAGUUAAACUAGGCACGCCAGAAGAAUCACCCCUCUUACAUUAGCCUGGAGUCAGCAUAUUGAGGUGGCAUAGGGAAGGGCAGUAAAUAAAGUCUUGUUGUAGGGUCA
rnacentral:lncRNA from 1 species